CCUACGUGUGGCAGCAGUGAGGAAUAUUGGUAAAUGGGCGCGAGCCUGAACCAGCCAAGUAGCGUGAAGGAUGACUGCCCUACGGGUUGUAAACUUCUUUUAUAAAGGAAUAAAGUGAGGCACGUGUGCCUUUAUCUAUGUACUUUAUGAAUAAGGAUCGGCUAACUCCGUGCCAGCAGCCGCGGUAAUACGGAGGAACCGAGCGUUAUCCGGAUUUAUUGGGUUUAAAGGGAGCGUAGAUGGGUUGUUAAGUCAGUUGUGAAAGUUUGCGGCUCAACCGUAAAAGUGCAAUUGAUACUGGCAGUCUUGAGUACAGUUGAGGUAGGCGGAAUUCGUGGUGUAGCGGUGAAAUGCUUAGAUAUCACGAAGAACUCCGAUUGCGAAGGCAGCUUACUAAACUGCCACUGACAUUGAUGCUCGAAAGUGUGGGUAUCAAACAGGAUUAGAUACCCUGGUAGUC
rnacentral:rRNA from 1 species